UGGGGAAUAUUGCACAAUGGGGGAAACCCUGAUGCAGCGACGCCGCGUGGAGGAAGAAGGUCUUCGGAUUGUAAACUCCUGUUGUUGAGGAAGAUAAUGACGGUACUCAACAAGGAAGUGACGGCUAACUACGUGCCAGCAGCCGCGGUAAAACGUAGGUCACAAGCGUUGUCCGGAAUUACUGGGUGUAAAGGGAGCGCAGGCGGGAAGACAAGUUGGAAGUGAAAUCUAUGGGCUCAACCCAUGAACUGCUUUCAAAACUGUUUUUCUUGAGUAGUGCAGAGGUAGGCGGAAUUCCCGGUGUAGCGGUGGAAUGCGUAGAUAUCGGGAGGAACACCAGUGGCGAAGGCGGCCUACUGGGCACCAACUGACGCUGAGGCUCGAAAGUGUGGGUAGCAAACAGGAUUAGAUACCCUGGUAGUCCACACCGUAAACGAUGAUUACUAGGUGUUGGAGGAUUGACCCCUUCAGUGCCGCAGUUAACACAAUAAGUAAUCCACCUGGGGAGUACGACCGCAAGGUUGAAACUCAAAGGAAUUGACGGGGGCCCGCACAAGCAGUGGAGUAUGUGGUUUAAUUCGACGCAACGCGAAGAACCUUACCAAGUCUUGACAUCCUGCGACGGUUCUGGAAACAGAACUUUCCUUCGGGACGCAGAGACAGGUGGUGCAUGGUUGUCGUCAGCUCGUGUCGUGAGAUGUUGGGUUAAGUCCCGCAACGAGCGCAACCCUUAUGGUCAGUUACUACGCAAGAGGACUCUGGCCAGACUGCCGUUGACAAAACGGAGGAAGGUGGGGAUGACGUCAAAUCAUCAUGCCCUUUAUGACUUGGGCUACACACGUGCUACAAUGGCGUAAACAAAGUGAAGCGAAGUCGUGAGGCCAAGCAAAUCACAAAAAUAACGUCUCAGUUCGGAUUGUAGUCUGCAACUCGACUACAUGAAGCUGGAAUCGCUAGUAAUCGCAGAUCAGAAUGCUGCGGUGAAUACGUUCCC
rnacentral:rRNA from 1 species